rnacentral:tRNA from 14 species
CCGUCGCUUUAGUCCACUCAGCCAUCUCUCC